rnacentral:tRNA from 1 species
GCUCCUUUAGCAAAAAGGUAAAUGCAAUGGACUGCAACUCCAUUUGUCUCAGUUCAACUCUGAGAAGGAGCUCCA